rnacentral:rRNA from 1 species
CUGCUGCCUCCCGUAGGAGUUUGGGCCGUGUCUCAGUCCCAAUGUGGCCGUCCACCCCCUCAGGCCGGCUACUGAUCGUCGCCUUGGUGGGCCGUUACCCCGCCAACAAGCUAAUCAGACGCGGGUCCAUCUUACACCACCGGAGUUUUUCACACAAAUCCAUGCGGCUUCGUGCGCUUAUGCGGUAUUAGCACCUAUUUCUAAGUGUUAUCCCCCAGUGUAAGGCAGGUUACCCACGCGUUACUCACCCGUCCGCCACUAAGAUUUUA